GCGUGCUUAACACAUGCAAGUCGAACGCUGAAGCCCCAGCUUGCUGGGGUGGAUGAGUGCGAACGAGUGAGUAACACGUGAGUAACCUUCCCUUGACUCUGGGAUAAGCCUGGGAAACCGGGUCUAAUACCGGAUACGACCGGUCACCGCAUGGUGGCCGGUGGAAAGAUUUAUCGGUCUUGGAUGGACUCGCGGCCUAUCAGCUGGUUGGUGGGGUAAUGGCCCACCAAGGCGACGACGGGUAGCCGGCCUGAGAGGGUGACCGGCCACACUGGGACUGAGACACGGCCCAGACUCCUACGGGAGGCAGCAGUGGGGAAUAUUGCACAAUGGGCGCAAGCCUGAUGCAGCGACGCCGCGUGAGGGAUGACGGCCUUCGGGUUGUAAACCUCUUUCAGUAGGGAAGAAGCGAAAGUGACGGUACCUGCAGAAGAAGCGCCGGCUAACUACGUGCCAGCAGCCGCGGUAAUACGUAGGGCGCGAGCGUUAUCCGGAAUUAUUGGGCGUAAAGAGCUCGUAGGCGGUUUGUCGCGUCUGCCGUGAAAGUCCGGGGCUUAACCCCGGAUCUGCGGUGGGUACGGGCAGACUGGAGUGCAGUAGGGGAGACUGGAAUUCCUGGUGUAGCGGUGAAAUGCGCAGAUAUCAGGAGGAACACCGAUGGCGAAGGCAGGUCUCUGGGCUGUUACUGACGCUGAGGAGCGAAAGCAUGGGGAGCGAACAGGAUUAGAUACCCUGGUAGUCCAUGCCGUAAACGUUGGGCACUAGGUGUGGGGGCCAUUCCACGGUUUCCGCGCCGCAGCUAACGCAUUAAGUGCCCCGCCUGGGGAGUACGGCCGCAAGGCUAAAACUCAAAGGAAUUGACGGGGGCCCGCACAAGCGGCGGAGCAUGCGGAUUAAUUCGAUGCAACGCGAAGAACCUUACCAAGGCUUGACAUGUUCCCGACCGCCACAGAGAUGUGGUUUCCCCUUUGGGGCGGGUUCACAGGUGGU
rnacentral:rRNA from 1 species